ensembl:snRNA U6 U6 spliceosomal RNA
GUGCUCACUUUGGCGGCACAUAUACUAAAAUUGGAACAAUACAGAGAAGAUUAGUAUGACCCCUGUGCAAGGAUGACAUACAAAUUUAUGAAGCAUUCCAUAUUUAA